UGAGGAAUAUUGGGUCAAUGGGCGGAAGCCUGAACCAGCCAAGUCGCGUGAGGGAUGACGGUCCUACGGAUUGUAAACCUCUUUAGCCGGGGGAUAAAGUGUGCCACGUGUGGCAUAUUGCAGGUACCCUAUGAAUAAGGACCGGCUAAUUCCGUGCCAGCAGCCGCGGUAAUACGGAAGGUCCGGGCGUUAUCCGGAUUUAUUGGGUUUAAAGGGAGCGUAGGCCGUCUUAUAAGCGUGUUGUGAAAUGUCGGGGCUCAACCUGGGCAUUGCAGCGCGAACUGUGAGACUUGAGUGCGCAGGAAGUAGGCGGAAUUCGUCGUGUAGCGGUGAAAUGCUUAGAUAUGACGAAGAACUCCGAUUGCGAAGGCAGCCUGCUGUAGCGCAACUGACGCUGAAGCUCGAAAGCGUGGGU
rnacentral:rRNA from 1 species